ensembl:lncRNA
GGCAUAUGGAGGUUCCCAGGCUAGGGGUUGAAUCAGAGCUGUAGCCACCGGCCUACGCCAGAGCCACAGCAACGCGGGAUCCGAGCCGCAUCUGCAACCUACACCACAGCUCACAGCAACGCCGGAUCGUUAACCCACUGAGCAAGGGCAGGGACUGAACCCGCGACCUCAUGGUUCCUAGUCGGAUUCGUUAACCACUGAGCCACGACGGGAACUCCUGUUGGAGGUUUUUCAGUCAUGGUUUCAAUUUCAGUACUUGUGAUUGGUCUGUUCAUCUUUUCUAUUUCAUCUUGGUUUAGUCUUGGAAGAUUGUACUUUUCUACAAAUUUGUCCUUUUCUUCUAGGUUUUCUGUUUUAUUGGCGUUUAGGUGCAUAUAGUGGUUUCUUAUGCUCUUUUGAAUUUCUGUGAUGAUCAUUGUUACUUCUGCUUUUUCAUUUCUAAUUUUAUUGAUUUGAGUCCUCGCUCUUAUUUUCUUGAUAAGUCUGGCUAAGGGUUUAUCAUCAAUUUUCUUGAUCUUUUCAAAGAACCAGCUUUUCGUUUCAUUGAUCUUUUCUGUGGUUUUCUUUGUUUCUAUUUCAUUGAUUUCUGCUCUGAUCUUUAUGAUGUCUUUCCUUCUACUAACUUUAGGUCUUGUCUGUUCUUCUCUCUCUAACUGCUUUAGAUGUAAGGUUAUCUUGCUUAUUUGAGCUUUUUCUUAUUUCCUGAGGUGGGCUUGUAUUGCUAUAAUCUUUCCUCUUAGAACAGCUUUUGCUGCAUCCCAUAGGUUUUGGAGAGUUGUGUCUUUGUUAUCAUUAGCAUGUAGGUAUUUUUAAAUUUCCUCUUUGAUUUCUUCAGUGAUCCAUUGCUUGUUUAGUAGCAUGUUGUUUAGUCUCCACGUGUUAGUGUUUUUUGCAGUUUUUUUCUUGUUGUUGAUUUCCAGUCAUAUAGCAUUGUCAGAAAGGAUGUCUGAUAGGAUAGCAAUGGUCUUAAAGUUACUGAGGCUUGAUUUGUAGCCCAGGUUGUGAUCAAUUUUAGAGAAUGUUCCAUGUGCACUUGAGAAGAAUGUGUAUUCUGAUGCUUUUGGAUGGGAUAUUCUAUAAAUAUCUAUGACGUCUAUCUAGUCUAAUGCUUCAUUCAGGGCCUGUGUUUCCUUAUUGAUUUUCUGUCUGGAUGAUCUGUCCUUUGCUGGGAGUGGGGUGUUACUGUCGAUUUGUCCUUUUAAGGUUGUUAGCAGUUGCCUUAUACAUUGUGGAGAUUCUAUGUUGGGUGUGUAGAUAUUUAAAAUUGUUAUAUAUUCUUCUUGGAUUGAUCCUUUGAUCAUUAGGUAGUGACCUUCUGUGUCUCUUAACAUAUUCUUCAUUUUAAUGUCUGUUUUUUUCUGAUAUGAGUAUUGCUACUCCAGCUUUCUUUUGAUUUCCGUUUGUGUGGAGUAUUUUCUUCCAUCCUCUCACUUUCAAUGUGUAUGUGUCCCUUGAAGUGAUGUGGGUCUCUUGAAGACAGCAUAUAUAUGGGUCUUCUUUUUUGUAUCCAUUCAGCCGGUCUGUGUCUUUUGGUUGGGGCGUUAGGUCCAUUAACAUUUAAGGCAAUCAUUGAUAUGUACGUUCUUAUUGCCAUUUUGUUAAUUGCUUUGGAUUUGUUUUUUUUGCUCUUUAUUCUUCCUUUCUUCUCUUGUUCUCUCCUCUUGUGGUUUGAUGACUAUCUUUAGUGUUGUAAUUGAGCUGAUAUUUCUUUUUGGUUUGUGUAUCCAUUGUGGAUUUUUGAUUUGCAGUUACUCUGAAGUUUUGAUAUGAGUCGCUCUGUAUAUAUAUACACGAGAUUGUUUUAAGUUAUUGGUCUCUUAACUGCAAGUGUGUCUCCAGUGUCCUGCAUUGGUACCCACCUCUUCUCAGAAUUUCUGAUUUUGGUGGCAUAAUUGUGUAUGGAUGAUUUCAUGUCUUUCCUGGUGAGCCUUGUCAUUUGUGGUAUUUUUGUUUCUGGUUGUGGCCUUUUCCUUUCUGUCUAGAGAAGUUCCUUUAGUAUUUGUUGUAAAGCUAGUUUAGUGUUGCUGAAUUCUCUUACCUUUUUCUUAUCUGUGAAGGUUUUGGUUUCUCCUUCACAUCUGAAUGAGAGCCUUGCUGGGUAAAGUAAUCUUGGUUGGAGGUUUUUCCCUUUCAUCAUGUUAAGUAUAACUUGCCACUCCCUUCUGGCCUGCAGAGUUUCUGCUGAAAAAUCUGCCAAUAACCUCAUCAGGAUUCCCUUGUAUGUUGUUUGUUUCUUUUCUGUAGCUGCUUUCAAGAUUUUCUCUUUGUCUUUAAUUUUGGUCAGUUUGAUUAAUAUGUGUCUUGGGGUGUUCCUCCUUGGGUUUAUUUUAUAUGGCACUUGUGCUUCCUGGAUUUGAGUGAGUGGUUCCUUUCCCAUGUUAGGGAAGUUUUCAGCUAUUAUCGCUUGGAAUAUUUUUUCUGUCCCUUUCCCUCUCUCUUCUCUUUCUGGCCCCCCAUAAUAUGGAUUUUGGUGUGUUUAAUGUUGUCCUAGAGUUCUCUGAGACUCUCUUCAUUGUUUUCAAUCUUUUUUCUCCUUUCUGUUUCUCAUCAUUGAUUUCUACUCAUCUGUCCUCCAUCUUGCUUAUUUGUUCUUCUGCCCCCUAUAUUCUGCUGUUGGCUACUUCUAAUGAAUUUUUUAUUUCAGUUAUUGUAUUUUGCAUCUCUGCUUGCUUAAGUUUUAAUAUCUUGUAUUUCUUUGCUUGUGUUUCCUGUAAAUUAUCCAUCUUUGCCUCCAGGGGUAUUUCCAGUGUCUUACAUCAUCUUCAGGAUCAACAGUCUAAAGCCUUUUUCUGGAGACUGAGAAUCUCCUGAUCACUUAGCUGGUUUUGUGGGGUUUUUUUCUUUCUCCCACAUCUGAGUUAUAGGUCUCUGUCUUUUCAUUUUUAUAGGUUUUUGGUGUGGUGACUUUUUACAGAUAAGAGGGUUGUAGCCUCUCUUACUUCUGGUGUCUGCCCCCCUUGUGGCUGGAGUCGGUAGGGGGGCUUGCUGUAGGCUUCCUGAUGGGAGGGAUUGAUGCCUGCCCCCUGGUAGGUGGAGCUGAUUCCUGUCACUCUGUGCUUGGUUGGGCUUUGUCUUUGGAUGAGAUUAGAGGCAGCUGUGUGCCUGUGGGUUCUUUAGGCAGCCUGUUCACUGAUGGGUGGGGCUGUGAUCCCACCUGGAUUGUUGUUUGGCUUGGGGCUUCUCAGCACUGAUGGGUGGGGCCAGAUUUUCCUAAAAUGGCCCCCUCCAGAGAAAGGCAAGGUUGCUGAAUAUUCCCGAGAGCUUUGCCUCCAGUGUCCUUCCCUCACAACAAGCCGCUGUCAUCCCCUUUUCCCAGAGAGUCCUCCAAGAACUGCAGUCGGGUCUGUCCCAUAUUCCUAUGGAGCCUUUGCUUUGCCUUUGGACCCAGUGCAUGUAAAGUCCAUGUGCACCUUUCAAGAAUGGGGUCUCUGUUUCCCCCUGUCCUGUGGAGCUCUUGCACACAAGCCCCACUGGCCUUCAAUGCCAGAUGCUCCGGGGGCUCUUUCUCCCAGUGCCAGGCCCAAGGCAUGGGGAUUUGACGUGGGGCUCAGAACUCUCACUCCUAUAGGUGAGGCUCUGUGAUACCGUUAUUUUCCAGUCUGUGGGGCUUCCUUAUAUCACAUAAUCUCCCCUCCUACCUCUUGAUGUGGCCUCCUCUUUGUCUUCUGGAGUAGGAUAUCUUUUUGAACACUUCCAGUGCAUUUGGUUGAAGGUUUCCCAGUAUAUGGUCGUAAUUUUGUUGUUUUUAUGAGAGAAGUUGAGCUCCAGUCCUUCUAUUCCAACAUUUCAAUCCUGUCUCCCUAUCCAUACAGUGGAUUAUUUUUAGCAAGAAGAAGAAAUGAGCUAUAAAUCCAUGAAAAGACAUAGAGGAAUCUUAAAUCAUGUUGCUGUGUGAAAGAAACCAGUCUGAUAAUGCUAUUUACUUUAAAAUUCCAGUUAUAUGACAUAGUGGGAGCCAAAACAAUGCAGACUGUAAAAAGAUUAGUGGCUCCAGGGGUUGAGGGAAGAGAAAUUGGUGGCGAUAGUUGUUGCCACAAGCACAGUAUCUGCAAAGCACAGGAGAAUGGAAUAUUCCUGUAUACUUAUUACAGUGGCCCAUACCCAGAUACCGGCAAUACCAUUGCUAGCAAGGAUGAAGUGUGAAAGGAACACUUCUUUGUUGUUGCUGAGGAUGCAGGUAGAAUAGCUACUUUGGAAGACAUCUUGGUUCAUCCCUAUACACCUAAAUUCAUUUUUCAAUGUGAUUAAAAGUCAGCAUCCAUAUCUCAUAAAAACUGGCACACUGUUGUGUACCGAAGCUUCUUUUUUUAUAAUUUCAAGAAUUUGGAAGUGACCAAGAUAUUCCUCAGCAGGUGAAUGGAUGAAAUAUACUGUGGUAUGUCUAGGCAACGAAAUAUUAUUCAGUUGAAAAAAUGAGAACAAGGAAAUGAAAUUAAAUGAAAAGACCUGAGAAGACAUGGGGAAACCUAAAUGUAUAUUACUAAGUGUAAAUAGGCAGACUAAAAAGGCGUCAUACGGUAUGAUUCCAAUUGUGUGAUAUUCUGGAAAAGAUAAAACUAUGGUGGCAGCAGAAAGAUGAGUGGUUACAAGGAAAGAGUUAGUAGAAGGAGCACAGAGGAUUUUUAGGGCAGUGAACCUAUUCUGCAUAUUAAAAGGUUUGUUACACUUCAUUAGGUAUCUUUUCAAAACCCAUGGAAUGUGCAAAGCAAAGGUGAAUCCCAAUGCAAACUCUGUACUUUGGGUGAUGUUGACGUGUCAACGUGUGGGUUCAUCCAUGUGACAAAUGUGCCACUUCUUUUGAGGAUGUUGAUAAUGCAGGAGACCACGCAUGUGUUGGGGGCAGGAGAUAUAUGAGAAAUCUCUGUGACUUCUGCUCAAUUUUGUGUAAACCUAAAGCUGCUCUAAAAAAUAAGUAUGUUAAAAAUAAAGCAAAAUGUACAGAAUUACUUGGUGAGAUUGAUAAUUCACAACUACUUUAGGAAAGGUUUAGUAUGGUUUUUAGUACCUGAUAAAACAAACCAACAAAAAAUCAGUAAGAACUGUGUCCAAUAUCUUGGAUUAGAACAUGUUGGAAGACAGUAUUAAAAAAAAGAAUGUACAUAUAUGUAUGACUGGGUCACUGUGCUAUACAACAGACACGGAAGGAAUGUUGUAAAUCAACUAUACUUCAAUAAAAAAUUAAAAAAAAACCAAGGAGAACUUGAACAAUAUGAUUGACAACUCAACCUAAUGUCCACAUGGCGAACCAUGGAGAACAUUGUUCACAUGUUUUCACUGUGACUCUAAUGGUUAUAGAAAACCUUUAAGCUGGACCCAAAGGAACUGCUUAUGUAGAUGGGUACAGCCACGUGUUUGGGGAUUGUUGGUGAAUAGCUGAGGAGAGAGGAGAAGAAGUUGAAUACUUGGGUGAGGACUUGAAGAUAUGCAUUUGGAGAGUCAAUCUACAGAUCAGCCUAAGGCAGAGAUGUGGUCUUCACCAGCCAGCACUCCUCAUGAGUGUGGAUUAAAACAGGACAUUUGAAAUUGCACUAACCCCUUGAUUUCCAAACCUCUUUCUCCUUUUGUUUUCCCAUCACACUCAUCCUAUUCUAAUUUUUCUAGUGUCUCAGGCUCUAAAUAGGCAUCUUUGACCUUUGUCUCUUUAGCUUACUACAACCAGACAUCAUAUUCUCAAAUUGUUCCUUCCUUUCCAGACCCAUGUGUAUAUCAUAGAGCUAUGUUCCAGGUAAUCUGCCAGAAAAUGGGGUUACAGGCAUGAAGAAGACAUGGUCCUAGAGGGUUCUGCAUCAGUCUAGGAGGAAGGAAGAUCGUGCGAGUAGCCUCGGAGGAGGGAGAAACAGAGCUUUAGUUGGAGCUCCUCUAAUCCUUACUAGAUGACUUCACUUCCUGAUUCUCUAGAGAAUACAUAGGAUCUAUCCACCUUUUUGAGCCUUGCUCUCUUACUUCACCUUUCUUUCAUACCUUGCAUCUAUCUUACUCCCCUAGUUGUUUCACGCCAACCUCCAAACAAGUUCCUGUAUUCCCAUCUUAAAUAAAUGCAGGCUGGAGUUUGUUUCCUCCUUAAGUCCCCAAUCUCUUCAUUCCCGUCAGUAUAAUAUUUCAAAAAUUAAAACUUUUGACUUAAUAAACAUGACUGUAUGAUGGCUAAAUUAAUUAAUGAACAUUCACUGUCCAUUUCUUCGUCAGUUUACAUUGUGCCAUAUGACUUCUAUUUCCAUCUUCUGUAAAGGGGCUUUGCACAGUCCUGUCUUUCAAGCUCUAGUCACCAAGUUAAACAGCAUAUUUUGGUACUCUGUCUUCAUCUUACUGAUCAUUAACACAAAUGAAACCCCUUCUUCUUUCUUAUGUUUAUCCAAGCUGGUCUGAUAUACCUAGAUGCCAUAGAUUAGACUUAGCAAAAAUAAAAGAAAGAUGUCUCAACAUUUAUUUCACAUGCUUACCAAUACUGACCUUUAGCCAAGUAGUGUUCUAGGUUACUUGCUUAAUAAGACAAAGAUGUCCUUGCACCUCUUCAGAUAAUUCACACAAAAAUAAACAAACCAGUAAAAUAAUUUGUGAUUCAUGCUAAGGAAGGAGUGGAAAGAGUGAUGUUAUGGAGAGGGAACAUGGCCAGUUAAGUGGUUAGGCAGUGCCUCUUUGAGAAGAUGGCGUUGACGUCAUGAAAGAUAGUUAUGGUGCUAAUCAUGGGACCCUUUAGAGGCAUCCUCAAUUGUUUCUAACUUUUACAGUUCCUCUUAGAGUUUUAUUUGGUUUGGGUUGCUCACUUUCUCUCUGUUCUUUCACUUUGGACUUGGUGUUCAUGUUUGAUCUUAUUGGAUUAACUAGGAAUAUGUCUCACUCUAGUUAGAGACUCAUUUUCAGGAUACAAAGAAAUGGAAAGAUAUUCCAUGCUCCUGGAUUGGAAGAAUUAAUAUUGUAAACAUGGACAUAGUACCCAAAGCAAUCUACACAUUCAAUGCAAUCCCUAUCAAAUUACGCAUGACAUUUUUCACAGAACUAGAACAAACAAUCCAAAAAUUGAUAUGGAACCACAAAAGACCCAGAAUUGCCAGAGCAAUCCUGAGGAGCAAACACCAAGCAGGAGGCAUAACUCUCCCAGACUUCAGGCACUAUUACAAAGCCACAGUCAUAAAGACAGUGUGGUACUGGUACCAAAACAGACAGACAGGCCAAUGGAACAGAAGAGAGAACCCAGACACCUACAGUCAAUUCAUCUUCAACAAAGGAGGUAAGAACGUAAAAUGGGAAAAAGACAGUCUCUUCAGCAAGUGAUGUUAGGAAACCUGGACAGCUGCAUGUAAAUCAGUGAAACUAGAACACAUCCUCACACCAUGCACGAAAAUAAACUCAAAAUGCCUUAAAGACAUAAAUGUAAGACAAGACACCAUCAAACUCCUAGAAGAGAACAUAGGCAAAACAUUCUCUGACAUCAGCCUUACAAAUGUUUUCUCAGAUCAAUAUCCCAAAGCAACAGAAAUGAAAGCAAACAUAAACCAGUGGGACCUAAUCAAACUGACAAGCUUUUGCACAGCAAAGGAAUCCAUAAACAAAACCAAAAAGACAGUCUAUGGAAUGGGAGAAAAUAGUUUCAAAUGAUGCAACUGACGAGGGCUUAAUUGCUAAAGUAUACGAACAACUUAUACAACUCAACAGUAAAAAAAGCCAACAACCCAAUUCAAAAAUGGGCAAAAGACCUGGCCAGACAUUCCUCCAAAGAUAUACAGAUGGCCGAUAAGCACAUGAAAAAAUCCUCAACAUCAUUGAUUGUUAGAGAAAUGCAAAACAAAACUACUAUGAGAUAACACCGCCCCCCAGGCAGAAUGGCCAUCAUUAAUAAGUCCACAAAAAACAAAUGCUGGAGAGGGUGUGGACAAAAGGGAAGCCUCCUACACUGUUGGUGAUGAUGUAAAUUGGUCCAACCACUAUGGAAAAUGGUAUGGGGGAACCUCAGAAAACUAAAUAUAGAACUCCCACAUGAGCCAGUAAUCCCCCUCUUGGGAGUAUAUCCAGACAAAACUUGCCUUGAAAAAGACAUAUGCACCCGUAUGCUCAUUGCAGCACUGUUCCC